rnacentral:rRNA from 1 species
AUUGAACGCUGGCGGCAGGCCUAACACAUGCAAGUCGAGCGGAGCGGCGGACGGGUGAGUAAUGCCUAGGAAUCUGCCUGGUAGUGGGGGAUAACGUCCGGAAACGGGCGCUAAUACCGCAUACUAUCAGAUGAGCCUAGGUCGGAUUAGCUAGUGGGUGGGGUAAAGGCCUACCAAGGCGACGAUCAGUAACUGGUCUGAGAGGAUGAUCAGUCACACUGGAACUGGUAAACGGUCCAGACUCCUACGGUAGGCAGUGGUGGGGAAUAUUGUACAAUGGGCGAAAGCCUGAUCCAGUCAGGCCGCGUGUGUGAAGAAGGUCUGCGGAUUUGAAAGCUCUUUAAGUUGGGAGGCGUUACCAACAGAAUAAGCACCGGCUAACUUCGUGCCAGCAGCCGCGGUAAUUC